rnacentral:lncRNA from 1 species
ACUAAACUAUAUAGAGCUGAAUUUUAGAAAAUUUAGAUUUGGCUCAUGAAAGUAUAUGUAGGGUUUGAGUUUAUUUCUCUUAUGAUAAUAAUUUCAGCUUACUUAACGAGACUGUUUACUAGCCUAUUCGCGAGCCUGCUCAUGAACUCAGAAACGAGCCAAGCUCACAAGUCUUAACGAGCGGAAUACUAUAGAGCUCAAGUUUGGCUCGUUUACCAAACGAGCCUAAAAAUUAAGCUCAAGCCUGACUCAUUUAAAAAUCGAGUCAAGCUUUUAUCGAACCGAACCUCAAGUAGCUCACAGAACGGUUUGGUUCAUUUACACCCUUAGUGAGAACUAAAGUUCAAAGGCAAA